GUGGGGAAUUUUGGACAAUGGGCGCAAGCCUGAUCCAGCAAUGCCGCGUGCAGGAAGAAGGCCUUCGGGUUGUAAACUGCUUUUGUACGGAACGAAAAGGCUCUGGUUAAUACCUGGGGCUCAUGACGGUACCGUAAGAAUAAGCACCGGCUAACUACGUGCCAGCAGCCGCGGUAAUACGUAGGGUGCAAGCGUUAAUCGGAAUUACUGGGCGUAAAGCGUGCGCAGGCGGUGCUGUAAGACAGGCGUGAAAUCCCCGGGCUCAACCUGGGAAUUGCGCUUGUGACUGCAGUGCUGGAGUACGGCAGAGGGGGAUGGAAUUCCGCGUGUAGCAGUGAAAUGCGUAGAUAUGCGGAGGAACACCGAUGGCGAAGGCAGUCCCCUGGGCCUGUACUGACGCUCAUGCACGAAAGCGUGGGGAGCAAACAGGAUUAGAUACCCGUGUAGUCC
rnacentral:rRNA from 1 species